GCGGCUGUGGCGGAACAGGCAGACGCGCACGUUUGAGGGGCGUGUGGGAGACCGUAUGGGUUCAAGUCCCAUCAGCCGCACCA
rnacentral:tRNA from 1 species